GCUAAACCCUAACAUGUUUCUUUGGGACUUUGCUUAAGAUAUUGUGAGUAACUAUGGAACUUUAAAUUUGUUCAAGUCUAUUACUUUUAUUACCGCUAAAUUGUAAUUUCAGCAUAUGAUAAUGAUGCCACUGAGUUUUUUUUUUUUUUUGGGGGGGGGGGGGGGUGUGGUGUACGAAAUUGUGUAUUUGCAUGUUGUGGUAUUAUUUGCUAACAUGGAGAGGCGUAUUAUGGUGGAGGGGAAUCAUUGUAAGAGCAAUGUUAAUAUUGUCUCCAAGUCAGAUGGGCCGUUUAUUCAGAUCGACUCGAUAUCUAUAGAUCUUGUUAGUGCUAAGGAUAAGAGUGAUGCUGGAAAGUGUGAGCAUUUUUCUAUAAUUUGAUUGUAGUUGGAAAGUAAUAUGGAGUUGUCUCUUGCACGGGUUACCUAUGUUCAGCUGCAGUUGUAGAUGCUGCUUUGGUGCUCCUUGGAAACAUAAUUUCAUAUCAUUUAUUUGAGGGAAUUGGGGAUGUUGGGGUUAGGGAUUUGAUAGGUUGAUUAAGAUUCGAUCAAGGAGUAACAAGCUGGGUAUAUUUUGGAGUUCAAUGGUCAAAACAGGAGCCUUCUAUAUUAAAUGAGCAGGUGAUGAUACCGUGGUCACACUGGACCAGGUUAAGUUAGAAGACUUUGAGCAUGAUAGUCUUCAUGAAGUGUUUGAGUUCUCUAUUGAAGUUCUUGCUAGAAUUGAUCAUGACUGUGGCAUUGAGGUGCUGAAAUAUUGUGUUGAGAAUCACACCAUCUCUUUGGAUUUUAUAUGGAAAAGUGAAGAAGUUUCACCAUUUCUCUCCAAAAUGGGCAAGUGCUUGUUAGAGUCGCUAGAAUGUGGUCGCAGUGUCAUUCAAGGAAACUAAACUAAUUUUGAAUCUCUCAGUUGCUUAGGCUCUGACUCCAUUUUUGGUGGAAAAAACUCUCUUCUUUCAUCCUUACAAAGUUUCAUUUGCUGUCCGAUUUUCAUGAAAUGGAGAGAUCAAAAUCAUAUGGAUGUAUUCCUUUAUGGUUCGGUUAUGCAAUCCAUGGAAAGGCUUUUACAUGCACUGAUGAAACUAUAUGAAGAAGAUUCUGAAUGGAGAUUGACACAUCUUGGAGAUCUGGUGAAUGAAGUUGCUGACUUAGAUCUUCUUGACUGGUUUGGUUGUGUUAGGCUGAUUGAUUGCACAUGCGGUUUUGUGUUACUCUGUCUGCAGAUUGGUCAGGUUGCUUGUCAACUGUUGGCAGUUCUGGUCAAAAAUCACUUUGUGCCAAUCUUUGCUAUCUGUAUGGCAUUGCAUUGCAUUAAGGAAUCUGGGUGGGAAAAGGCAGCAAUUGUGCCUCAGAGUUCAAUUUUGCCUCUUGCUGAGGUAUCUGGGAGUGAACGAGACAAACUCAUAAAGGAACAUAUGGUUUGCAUCUGCUUUUCAUCUCUCUCUCUCUCUAAAAGAUUCAGAUGUGAAUAAUCUUGCGCCACUAUUUUCCCUUCUUCCUUUGCAAUUCUUUUGGUAACUGCUCUUAUGGCAUGAGUUUGAGCUCAGGACAGUCAUUGAUCCACAAAUCUAAGAGAGGUAAGGUCUUGUUCAAUGAUCUCAAAUUUGGAAAUCACCCAACGCAAAGAGUGGCAAGACUUGUGUGGCACUUGACAUUCUUAAGAGUUUAUUGUCUACCAUCAAACGUUGACCUGUUCCUGCUAGAACGUGAGGAAAGGACUCAAUUAAUCAUUUUGUGCACUUGCUGUAAUAAGACAAUGAACUAACAAUCUUACAAGAAAUCCUCCUUCUUUUUUCUUCUUUUAUCGUUUUCUCAAAUGCUUGAACUUUUUCUUGAGAUGAAUGUACUCUAAACGAUAGAUUUCUGU